rnacentral:miRNA from 13 species
GUGGAAUCACUUCUGCACAAACU